rnacentral:rRNA from 1 species
CAUGCCGCGUGAAGGAUUAAGGUCCUCUGGAUUGUAAACUUCUUUUAUCUGGGACGAAAAAAGGCGAUUCUUCGUCACUUGACGGUACCAGAUGAAUAAGCACCGGCUAACUCCGUGCCAGCAGCCGCGGUAAUACGGAGGGUGCAAGCGUUAUCCGGAUUCACUGGGUUUAAAGGGUGCGUAGGCGGGUAGGUAAGUCAGUGGUGAAAUCCUGGAGCUUAACUCCAGAACUGCCAUUGAUACUAUCUAUCUUGAAUAUUGUGGAGGUAAGCGGAAUAUGUCAUGUAGCGGUGAAAUGCUUAGAUAUGACAUAGAACACCUAUUGCGAAGGCAGCUUACUACGCAUAUAUUGACGCUGAGGCACGAAAGCGUGGGGAUCAAACAGGAUUAGAUACCCUGGUAGUCCACGCCCUAAACGAUGGAUACUCGACAUACGCGAUACACAGUGUGUGUCUGAGCGAAAGCAU